rnacentral:rRNA from 1 species
UCAAGCGACAAAGGGCUAAUGGUGGAUGACUUGGCACGAGGAGGCGAUGAAGGACGUGGUAAGCUGCGAUAAGCUUCGGGGAGCCGCAAACAGGCGUUGAUCCGAAGAUUUCCGAAUGGGGCAACCCGGCCGGGUUCAUACCCGGUCCCUCCGGCCGCAAGGUCGGAGAGCGACACCCGGAGAACUGAAACAUCUAAGUACCCGGAGGAAAGAGAAACCGAAAUGGGAUUCCCGUAGUAGCGGCGAGCGAACUGGGAUCAGCCUAAACGCGAUCUGUGUAAGCCCGAACGCGUUGCAGAUCGCGGGUUGUGGGGCUUCAGAAGAGGGGAGUUCGGACCCCUCGCCAAGUGAACAACCGGAUGGCUAGUCGAAGGGUCUGGAACGGCCCACCAAAGAAGGUGACUAGUCCUGUAAGCGAAAGCUGUCCGGCUUGGUGUCUGAGGUACCCGAGUACCACGGGACACGUGAAACCUUGUGGGAAUCUGGCCCGACCACGGGCCUAGGCUAAAAACUCCCUCGUGACCGAUAGUGAACCAGUACCGUGAGGGAAAGUUGAAAAGUACCCCGGUGAGGGGAGUGAAAUAGGACCUGAAACCGUUAGCCUGCAAGCUGUGGGAGCGCUAUACCGUUCGCAAGAACGGGAUGCGUGACCGCGUACCUUUUGCAUAAUGAACCAGGGAGUGACUGGGCGCAGCGAGGUUAAUCCCUUAUGGGGAGGAGCCGUAGCGAAAGCAAGUCUGAAUAGGGCGUUUGAGUUGCGUUCAGUCGACCCGAAACUGGGUGAUCUACCCAUGACCAGGCUGAAGCCUGAUUAAUCUCAGGUGGAGGGCCGAACCCAUUGAGGUUGAAAACUCACGGGAUGAGUUGUGGGUCGGAGUGAAAGGCUAAUCAAACCCAGAAAUAGCUGGUUCUCCCCGAAAUAGCUCUAGGGCUAGCCUUGGAAUUGCUAGGGGGCGGGGGUAGAGUGCUGAAUGGACUAGGGGACCUACCAGUCUACCGAAUCCAACCAAACUCCGAAUACCGCCAACCUUGACUCCAGGAGUCAGCCUACGUGGGAUAAGCUGCGUGGACAAAAGGGAAACACCCCAGAUCGCCGGCUAAGGUCCCUCAAUCAGACUAAGUGACAAAGGAUGUGUGAUGGCUUUGACAACCGGGAUGUUGGCUUAGAGGCAGCCACCAUUUAAAGAGUGCGUAACAGCUCACCGGUCGACGUUGUCACGCGCCAACAAUGAUCGGGACUAAGUCUGAUACCGACGCCGCGAAUUUGAGUUCACUUCGGUGGACUCAUCUGGUAGGGGAGCGUACUGCAGUAGGAUGAAGGCGGACCGUGAGGACCGCUGGACGAAACAGUAGUGAGAAUCCUGGUAUGAGUAGCGAAAAUGCUGAUGAAAAAUCAGCACGCCGAAAGCCUAAGGAUUCCUGGGGAAGGUUCGUCCGCCCAGGGUUAGGCGAUCCUAAGUCGAGGCCGAAGGGCGUAGACGAUGGACAGCCGGUUAAUAUUCCGGCCCCUCCUGGUGAUGCGCUUGAGUGUGAUGAGUGACGCAGGGGGCUAGGUUACCCCGGGUAUUGGACAUCCCGGGCCAACUCUGUACCCCAUGCCGAAAGGUGUGGGCUAAGGAGGAUGGGGAGUCGCGGGGACACCCAAGGCGAAGGAACUGAGGCCGUACUGCCAAGAAAUAGCUCAUCACGCGAGGUAUUACCGGGAGUUCGUACCGCAAUCCGACACAGGUAGGCUAGCAGAACAUGCUUAGGCGCGCGAGAGAACCCUCGCUAAGGAACUCGGCAAAAUGACCCCGUAACUUCGGGAGAAGGGGUAGUCUAGCGGGUGCAAGCCUGCAGGACUCGCAGUAAAGAGAGCUCUGUGACUGUUUAGUAAAAACCCAUGUCUCUGCCAAGUCGCAAGACGACGUAUAGGGACUGACACCUGCCCGGUGCUGGAAGGUUAACGAGAGAUGUCAGUCCGCCGCAAGGCGGACGAAGCGUUGAACCGAAGCCCCAGUAAACGGCGGCCGUAACUAUAACGGUCCUAAGGUAGCGAAAUUCCUUGUCGGGUAAGUUCCGACCCGCACGAAUGGUGUAACAACAGAGCUGCUGUCUCAGCGAGGGACUCGGCGAAACUGUAGUGGCGGUGAAGAUGCCGUCUACCCACGAGUAGACGAAAAGACCCCGGAACCUUGACUGCAACCUGGUCUGGGAUGUUGGUCCGAUC